UACAGAGGGUGCAAGCGUUGUUCGGAAUUAUUGGGCGUAAAGCGCGUGUAGGCGGCCGUGCAAGUCGGGUGUGAAAGCCCUCAGCUCAACUGAGGAAGUGCGCCCGAAACUGCAUGGCUUGAGUACCGGAGAGGAUGGCGGAAUUCCCGAAGUAGAGGUGAAAUUCGUAGAUAUCGGGAGGAACACCGGCGGCGAAGGCGGCCAUCUGGACGGAUACUGACGCUGAGACGCGAAAGCGUGGGUAGCAAACAGG
rnacentral:rRNA from 1 species